UGUCCCAACUAAAAAUCAAUCGACGAAAGAGAAGAGAAAAGAAGCAAUGGGGAGAAAGAAGGGAUUGCCGGAGUUCGAAGAGACGGCGCCGGAUGGAUUUGAUCCGGAGAAUCCGUACAAGGAUCCGGUGGCGAUGGUGGAAAUGAGAGAGCACAUCGUUAGGGAGAAGUGGAUCCAAAUCGAGAAGGCUAAGAUCUUGAGGGAGAAGGUGAAAUGGUGUUACCGCGUGGAAGGCGUCAACCACUACCAGAAAUGCCGUAUUCUCGUACAGCAGUAUCUCGACUCCACCCGCGGCGUCGGCUGGGGAAAAGAUCACCGUCCUAUCUCCCUCCACGGUCCUAAGCCUGAGGCUGUUGAAGCUGAAUAAUAAUGCUUGGUGUCUGAUCAACCUGAGGUGAGUUGAAUUCGGCAUUUCUGGCUCUAGUGAUAAUGGUGUGAUGCUUUAUGGUUUAGUUAAGGUUUCUUCAGAUAUGAAACUGUGACCGAGCUUUUAGCACAAGACAUGAAAAUGGUCUUUGGACUGUGCAGAUUUGCUCCUGUUUUCUUUUUUCUGUUCUUUUGGAAACAUGGCAGUCUUUGGACUGUAGAUUCAUGUAACGUUUGUACGAGCUUGAGUAAUGUAUUGCUACACUCACCAGUCAAUAUUAGUCUCUCGCUAUCAAAUAAGUCUCUUUUUCCACUGCUUUA